GAGAACCAACAAUGGAAAGUUAAAUUUGAAGGAGGCAAUCACUGCUUGCUGGUAGAAACCAACAUUAGAAGCAAUGUAAUUUAUAAGCAACUAGGUUAACAAAUAGAUAUUUCAUAAUGGCUCCCACUAGCAAUGGGGUGGAGGACAUAAUGACAAAUCAAGUAGACAUAAAAAAAUGUUCCUUCUUCAUUAUUCCAUCAUUUGUUGCCAUUUUCUUGCUCUUUGUUUUAUAUGUAAACAAAGCCACCCAAUUGGUAAUACACCCGAUUCAAG
rnacentral:misc_RNA from 1 species